rnacentral:rRNA from 1 species
UAAACAACUCUCAGCAACGGAUAUCUCGACUCUCGCAUUGAUGAAGAACGUAGCAAAAUGCGAUACUUGGUGUGAAUUGCAGAAUCCCGCAAACCAUCAAAUCUUUGAACACAAGUUGCGCCCGAUGCCAUUAGGUUGAGGGCACGUCUGCCUGGGCGUCUCGG